AAUGCAUUUUAAUUAAAUGCAUUUCUUUUAAGUGCAUUUCAGAGGUGGGCGUGCGACAGUAGUGGAGAUGGGCUGUUGGGCGGUUGUAUGUUGGAUGCUUAUGAGAAACAAAGGAAAAGGAGUACGUACCUGCAGUCGCUGGCAAUGAGGGCGAGGCCACUCGUACUGAAGCCAUCGCAGCAGACGCUAACGAGCUCUUUGAAGGAGGGGAAGGACUCGGCAAGGAGGGCCAGAUCGUCGUACGUGAUGGACAUGCUCUGGGUUUGGAAUGCAGGAAAUUUUGCUUCGCAUUGGCACACUUGGAUGGAUGAAGGCUGGAAAGCUAUUCAUCGUGGACUUGGCAGGAUAGGAGAAAACUAGGGCUGAAGGAAAAGUUAUCGAAGAAGCAAUAUGAUCAACAAGUCCCUCUCGGCCCUUGUGAAUGUCAUAAAUGAUCAACAUCCUGUUUCAUGUUUCCAAGCUUACUCGUAUUCUACAUGAUGCACUUGUUGGUUUCCUAGCCUUCUCAUCAUACUAGUAUCAACUUGUAGUUAAUAUCCAAUCUUGUUUGUAAUCUUGCAGGGUGGGGACUCCAGAACUGCUUUGUUGUGUUGUUGCUUACCGAGCCCUUCAGGCUUCAAAUGCAUCAGAGAACCAGUAGAAUGGGUCGAACACCAGCAAGAUGUAACCUCCAGAUUAAAAAUGUCAUAUAUCCUUUUUGGAGUGGAACGUGUAAAGAGUUGCAAGUUGGUCAGAUCCAACGACAAAGUCUCCCUCUUUUAGAGAUUGUGGUGCUCUAUUUGGAUUACUAGAAUAUGAAUUAUUUUUUUGUAUUACACUUUGGAAAUUAGAUAGUUUCAUUGUAUAUAGAAAAUUUAUAAUUUAUGUAUUACCUGCAGAAUCACCUGUUUAGGCCUUAUCUUUUUUUUUUUUUUUUAUAGUUUAUUUUUUCCUAAUAACAAAAGGAA